GCCGGAGUAGCCCAACUCGGUAGAGGCGCCAGGUCGAGAGCCUGGAGGUUGCGGGUUCGACUCCCGCUUCCGGCA
rnacentral:tRNA from 1 species